GAAAGUGUCAGUGAUUAAUUUGUAUUCUCUCAUGAUUGUGUCAAACGAGUAUUUAGACUUUGUGUCCUUGACAAGAACAUGCCUCUCUGCGUGCCAGUGAUUCCUUCCUGUGGGUCAGAGAUUGUCCCUUGGCCUGGGUCCUGCCCUGCUUUCCGUUCCUGCAGUAAACGUUUGGUCCGCCCUCAUCCUACAGCUGUAGCGUCACACCAGAAUGAGGAGGAUAUUAUUACAUCCGUUUGUUCACGUAAUGCCACACUGAGACAUCUGCGGGAAUAAAUGCGAUUGGCCUGGUCAGAGGAAUUGCACAUGAUAGGAUGAGUAUGCUAAGGUAAGCUUUUACUCAGGCAUCUCCUUGGACAAAUUGUCUUGAUGUGAUUUGGAAAAGGGAAACAGUAUGUUAAUAUACUUACCCAGUUAGAUGCAGCCCCGAGCAUCUCGGUUGCAAUCCUGGCUAGCUGCCCGUUUUCAACUUUUAUUGCCCAGAGCUGGUCUCUGGGUGCAGACGCGGCUCUGAAGGGCUCGAUUGAGGCACGCAGAUAGUCUGGAAACCUCUCUUGAAGGCUCCUAUAAACUAUGGACUGUGAUUUAUAUGAAUAGAUUCAGCUCUGGAUAAACUAUACUGAAGAGUAUCCAAGUUUCUAGACUUUAUUCCCUGUCCCAGGUUUCACAUGAGAAAUAUGACAAUUUAUAUAACCUGCUCCAAUUCAAUCCCAGUCUAUAUGAAAGCUGCACACAUCUGUUAAAUAGCCAUUUUCUUCUUGCUCUACAACAUAUGGAUAUGAUUUUUUUUUAGACAUAACCUUCUAAUUUUGAAAAUUUGACUAAAGAAAUAUGUCUUGUAGCCAUCCAUCCUUUCAUUGUGCAUUCCUUCCUUGGGGUGUUUCCAGGUUCCAUAAAACAAAAACAAAAAAAGUAUUAAUAUUCUCAAAAGAAAAAUCUGAGAGGUCAUGACACCUUUCUAAUGCAACAGCCAGGGUAGCCGUAGACAAAACCCUGGUUUUGUUUUUACCUAAUUAACAUCUGGUGCUGAGACAUCAGCAGCAUCUCCCUCAGUUCAAUCAUAUGAGGUCAUUUAAAUUAUUUAUUUUUUUAUUGGAUUCUUUUCUCAAAAUUUCCCACAGCUACUGUAAAAAUCAUAUCAGAACAAUGAAACAUAAGUCCCGGUCACAGUGCAUAAUAAUAAUAAUAAUAAUAAUAAUAAUAAUAAUAAUAAUAAUAAUAAUAAUAACUUCAUGAAGCCUGAUGGUACAGUACGUUACCACAUGCAUGUUCCAGCAUUGUUGUGCAUACACAGAAUCACACACAGACACGACAGUCACAGCAGUUUUCUAACAGUGUUUCAUCUUUAGUUCAUGGCACAGUUCACCACUAUAAAGUUCAUCAUACGUACGGUAAUAAGCUACACUUAGGACAGGGCUCUCCUUUAAGACACCUGUUACGCCAAAGACUGGUGACUAACAAAACAACGCUUGACAAAACUGGCGCAUUUCCCACCGUCAUGCAUGCAGACGUGAUGCAUUAACAGUCUGAGCUCGGGAAAAAAGUCUUUCUUGGCACUGGGACUCAUACGGUAGCUUAUGGAAAAUGUCAGCUUAUAUCGGCACGGUUAUUUUCAGCACACAGCAGACUACAUGUAUACGCGGUUAAAGAUACUAAUGAGUUUCUCCGUUGCUUCAUAAGACAAAACUGGAUAAAGAGGUAUUAAGAGUAGAUACAGUAAUGACCUUAGAACAGACAGGAAUUUUUAAUUCCUCCCCCCCGUAGCAGCUACAGAUAAGUCCAGCUGGUUAUGUGCAAUGAGGAAAAUUAAGAGCAAUAACAGUUUCGAGCCUUCACAUCUUUUGUUUUUUUGCUUUGAAGCACAGGGGAGGAACGUGAUUAUGCAUUAUUGUAUGUGUCGAAGGUUUCGCUUGUGUUACCUGUGUGCGUCAGAGUACAGUCAGAGCCAUUUAAAAAAA